rnacentral:snRNA from 1 species
AUACUUACCUGGCAGGGGAGAUAAAAUGAUCACGAAGGUGGUUUUCCCAGGGUGAGGCUUAUCCAUUGCCCUCUGGAUGUGCUGAUCCCUGAGAUUUCCCCAAAUGUGGGAAACUCGACUGCAUAAUUUGUGGUAGCAGGGGACUGAAAAAUAAAAAUAAAUAAAUAAAUAAAAUAGCAACAUCCCCUC